GACGAACGCUGGCGGCGUGCUUAACACAUGCAAGUCGAACGGAAAGGCCCUGCUUUUGUGGGGUGCUCGAGUGGCGCACGGGUGAGUACCACGUGAGUAACCUGCCCUUGACUUUGGGAUAACUUCAGGAAACUGGGGCUAAUACCGGAUAGGAGCUCCUGCUGCAUGGUGGGGGUUGGAAAGUUUCGGCGGGUGGGGAUGGACUCGCGGCUUAUCAGCUUGUUGGUGGGGUAGUGGCUUACCAAGGCUUUGACGGGUAGCCGGCCUGGGAGGGUGACCGGCCAAAUUGGGACUGCGGUACGGCCCAGAAUCCUACGGGAGGCAGGAGUGGGGAAUAUUGCACAAUGGGCGGAAGCCUGAUGCAGCAAAGCCGCGUGCGGGAUGACGGCCUUCGGGUUGUAAACCGCUUUCGCCUGUGACGAAGCGUGAGUGACGGUAAUGGGUAAAGAAGCACCGGCUAACUACGUG
rnacentral:rRNA from 1 species